rnacentral:rRNA from 1 species
CAGCGGGAUAACCCGGAGAAAUCCGGCCUAAUACCGCAUGUGGCCGAGGGGAGGCAUCUUCUUUCGGCCAAAGGAGGCAACUCCGGAGACGGAUGGGCAUGCGUGACAUUAGCUUGUUGGCGGGGUAACGGCCCACCAAGGCGACGAUGUCUAGGGGUUCUGAGAGGAAGGUCCCCCACACUGGUACUGAGACACGGACCAGACUCCUACGGGAGGCAGCAGUGAGGAAUAUUGGUCAAUGGGCGAGAGCCUGAACCAGCCAAGUCGCGUGAAGGAUGACGGCCCUACGGGUUGUAAACUUCUUUUGUCAGGGAGCAAUUGAGUCCACGUGUGGGCUUAGCGAGAGUACCUGAAGAAAAAGCAUCGGCUAACUCCGUGCCAGCAGCCGCGGUAAUACGGAGGAUGCGAGCGUUAUCCGGAUUUAUUGGGUUUAAAGGGUGCGUAGGCGGAAUAUCAAGUCAGCGGUAAAAAUUCGGGGCUCAACCCCGUCGUGCCGUUGAAACUGAUGUUCUUGAGUGGGCGAGAAGUAUGCGGAAUGCGUGGUGUAGCGGUGAAAUGCAUAGAUAUCACGCAGAACUCCGAUUGCGAAGGCAGCAUACCGGCGCCCAACUGACGCUGAAGCACGAAAGCGUGGGUAUCGAACAGGAUUAGAUACCCUGGUAGUCCACGCAGUAAACGAUGAAUGCUAAUUGUCCGGA